AUGAAUUGGAUACUUCAAGAGAAGAGAAGAGAAUUGUCACAUAAGGAGAGGCAUGGUGUUUACUUUGCCUUGCUGGUAAUCGAGCUCAGAGAUGGGUCUGUUCAACCAGAUGACAAGCUGCUAGUCUCAAACCUGUUAGACAUAAGUGUACGAUAUGUUGAAAGAAUCUGGGAAGAGGCUAAAAAGCAAAUUGCCGAUGGCAAAGAAGUAGAUGUCUCAAGCAAGAAGCCAGGAAGAUCUGGCCGAAAGAGAAAGGAGCUGGAUCUAGAGAGGACCUCAACAAUCCCACUGAAUAAAAGAAGAACAAUUCGAUCUCUGGCACGGUCUCUAGGUGUGGCCCGAUCGACCCUACAUAAGAGGUUCCAGUUGAAUGAGCUCAACCGCAUCACAAGCACCGUGAAGCCUCACCUCAAGCUAGAGAACAAGCUUGCGAGAUUGAAAUUUUGUAUGUCCAUGGUCGAUGAAAAUUCGAUCUCAACUUCUCGGGCUAUGUUAAAACCAAUGACGAAUAUGGUUCACAUCGAUGAGAAGUGGUUUGACAUGACGAGAGUGAAGAAUAGUUACUAUGUACUUCCAGGAGAACCUGAACCGAAGCGCACCGUGUCAAACACUCACAACAUUGGGAAGGUAAUGUUCCUAACGGCUGUUGCCAGGCCUCGAUAUAACAAUGAGGGGGAGCUAACAUUCGAUGGGAAGAUCGGCAUUUGGGCAUUCGUCGAAGAGACUGAGGCGAAGCGGACAAGUCAGAACGGAAAAAAGGGAACAAAAGUGUUGACAUCAGUGAAAGUAACCAGGCCAGUGUGCAGAGAUUAUCUAAUCAAUAAGGUUAUCCCGGCAAUUUAG
rnacentral:rRNA from 1 species